CGGGAGGACGCCGAUGUCAACAAGGCCCGGGGACGCUCCAUCCGGCGCCGCCCCUCGGGUCGCCCCGCCCCCAGACCCAAACCACGCGAGGUCUCGAGGGUCCCGGGACGCGGCUUCAGAAAGAGGAAGCCCGGGAAACCGGUUUCCGCGUUGCAGCUGCUAUCCAGCGCUCCCUGGCCGGUCCCAGAACCGAGACCUGGGCGCUAGGUGCAGCUGCUCUGCGGUGCCCGCUGCUGUGUGGGCGCCUGUACGUCAGUCAGGGCAGGCGGCGCCGGGAGCGGACCGAGGGCUGCCCGGCGGAAGGGCUCUGUCCGCGGCUGCGGGCCUUAAGAACGUGCGGGCCGCCUCCGUUGUGGGCCUCCCGAUGCUGGACACCAUCUACCUGGUGCUGAAGCUGUGAAGCCUCCGAGGACCAGCGGCUGGACGAGCUGUUGCAGAAGGGGACCCAGGCCACUUCACCAGCCCCACUCAGCUCUGCAAGCACCGUGAGGAGUUUACCACAUUCCCCUCCCCAUGAGAACAUUUUGCAUUGUUCUGUUCUUCAAGCUAAUGGAGGAAAAACACCCUGAUGGACAUGAGCCACGUUGGACCCACACUCACUGGGCUUGGCAAAGGGUGAAGAAAUCAGGAGAAUGGAGAGAAAUUCCACAGGUGGAUGGCAAUGUGCCACUUCAGCUCCGCCUGGUGCCUGGCAUCCCCUCCAUCUGGGACAUGGGGACCCUUCUCUAAAGAAACCCAAAAGCUUCAGGGAAAUAUCAAGACCAGGGAGGGACCAGAAGCCUCAGCUCCCUGCUGAUUCCACUUUAAGUCCUG
ensembl:lncRNA